rnacentral:rRNA from 1 species
AAAGGAAUUGACGGGGAGCACCACAACGGGUGGAGCUUGCGGUUUAAUUGGAUCAACGCCGGAAAUCUUACCGGGACCGACAGCAAUAUGAAGGCCAGGCUGAAGACUUUGCCGGAUUAGCUGAGAGGUGGUGCAUGGCCGUCGUCAGUUCGUACUGUGAAGCAUCCUGUUAAGUCAGGCAACGAGCGAGACCCACGCCCACAGUUGCCAGCGUACUCUCUGGAGUGACGGGUACACUGUGGGACCGCCGCUGCUAAAGCGGAGGAAGGAAUGGGCAACGGUAGGUCAGUAUGCCCCGAAUAUCCCGGGCUACACGCGAGCUACAAUGGUUGGUACAAUGGGUAUCUACCCCGAAAGGGGACGGGAAUCUCCUAAAACCAAUCUUAGUUCGGAUUGAGGGCUGCAACUCGCCCUCAUGAAGCUGGAAUCCGUAGUAAUCGCGUUUCAACAGAACGCGGUGAAUACGUCCCUGCUCCUU